CCACUUUUUUACAUCAACUGAAAGUAAAACGACUGAUAAGUAAAAAAUAAACAAGUUUCGGUUGGACCAUUUUAAAUCGUUGAAGUUAAAAAGCUCUUAUCGCGACAAUCGCGACAAUCGCGACAAUAUACCUCUUUAAAUGUUAACAAAUAAAUGGACUUCGAUGAUUUAGAAAUUUUCGAUGGCUGCAUUGACACAGUAAAAAAUUUAGAAAUGUUGGUCUAUCAUUAUGAAUGUCCUGCUGCAAGAUCUUUUUUUAUGCAUUUUGGCUUAAAUUAGAUUACAUUUGCUAAAUAAAAUUGGUGGAACAGCGCUGGUAAAAACCAAUGUAUAUGUUAUGUCGUGACGUUACUAAUUUGUUAAUGUCAAAAAUAAACAUGGUUAGUACAGAAAAUACGUAAAGUUGUUCUGUGUAGUUCUAAUUUUGAAUUAUGAAUGUAUAUUUAAAAUGCUAACACUUUUGCCCUAGUUUUUUGCGGUUACACAUCAGGUUACGAAAUAAGAUGAUCAGGAUACGAAUGUAGAAAAUGAUGUUGCACAAGAACAGUGGUUGCAUCUAAUACAGUACAAAAGUUAAAAAAAAGUUUUCCAGCUCCUACAUCUGGUUCUCUUUGGACUUCCGAAUAUUUGGAAUCCUUUAAUAUAUUUUUUCAUACUACCAGCUUAGAAACUGUAUUUAAUGUUGGAUAUAAAUCGAGCUAUAACAUCAAAACCAUUUUACUAGAGAUAUCAGGCAUUGCACGAAAAUUAAUUGAAUCAUGCGACCUUUUUAAUUUUGAACUAAUUAAAAAUGUUUGUGUUGAUGUCGUAAAUAGCUUUGAUCCCGAUGCAUCAACCUUAUUUAAAUAUUUACAUCUACUAAUAUCUUCACAUCAUGAUAUGAAAUUAGAGUCAGUUGUUGAUGACUUUCUUUUCGCUUUGCCUAAUGUUCUUGGUUUUAAUCAUGGUAAUUUAACAAUUUUAUCCAAUAAUAAACAAAAACUAAUAAUGAACAAAACCAAGGUAUAUGCCACACCAGAUAUAACUAUUUAUAAUAUCUCAAAAAGAUUAAGGCUGGCUGUGUUCGAAAAAAAAAAUUGCAUUACAGCACUUUGAGUGAUAGUGACAAGCUCAGCUUGUUGCUGAACCAACAGCUGCUUCACAAAGGAAUCUUUUUUAUCAUAAACUCAAUUUGCAAAGACAAGAUGACACUAUUUUUCCUAUUUCCUUUACAACAACAGAAGAUAAUUUCUCUUGCCCAAUUUUUUUAAUACAUGUUACUGGAUGUGAGUUUUUUUUUUACUCAACAAAUAUUAGUGUUGAUGUACUAAGAAACAUAGAAACAUACGAAAAAGAGAGAGAUGAAAUGAAGCCGACACUAAUAUUUAAAUAUAUAGAAUCUUUAACCUUAUCUUCUUCUCAAUCUCCAAAAGAUAAAUUCGACUUUUUAAUACCAACUGACCGAAUUGAGAUUUUAACAAUUUUAGAUUAAAUAAAGCAACUUUUAAUGUAAGUUAUAAAUUA